rnacentral:ncRNA from 1 species
ACGCCGUACUCUGGAGAGCGGCACCCGCCACUGAUCGAUUCCGUCGACAGCCUUGGUGAGCGUGCCCACCGAAGGGGCGCGCAAGGCUUGGGUUUCCGGUAAAUGGAAUCCGCCUUGUAAUCUCUCAGGUAUCGAGGACAGAGGGGUCAUC